UAUUAAGCAAGUGCACUGCAGUCGGCGACUGGAAAUGUGCCUUGCAGUCGGUAGCUCAGAACUUUGAUGCGGUUUGGCAUCCGCUCACGUAUCCACCACACGAGCUGGUCCGUCCUCCGGCAUUGUCUUAGGGGCCUGUUCUCGGUUCUCUGUUCUCGGUUCUCCACCCGCCCACUUUGGCCCCUUUUAAUUUACCCUUCCCCGAUUAAUGCGUUUUUAGCUGGCUCUGGUAUUCACUUUUUGGCCUGCCCAUGAGUAAAUCUCGGUUUUGUUUUGUUCGACUUUCAGCGGCGCAAAGUGAUUGGAUUCCAGUUCCCAGCUGGCUAGCACUACUCACUGCCAAGCAAUGCAAAAAUAUUUAGUUUAUCUUUGCUAACACUUGGCCACAUACUAAAGAGUCUUGAAAGUGUCCAAACUUAAAUUACCAUAUAGCAAAGAACUACAAAUGCUUGUAAAGUGCUCCCUAAAAAUGUGUGGAUGUUUGAUUUAUCGACUUUUGAGAAAAUGGUUUGCUUCUUAUUUAAUUCAUUUUUUGGAAUGUCUCUGCGAGUUCUUAGCCAACUGACAAAGGGUAUUAAAUAUAUGCAACUUGAUUAAUAAAACAGAUACAUUUUACAACGUAAAAUUGGGAUUCCUGGAUAAGCCCAAAUCCCUCUUGAGAAAUUCGUUAAGCAUCUUCGUCUGGUUUCCUGCAAAGUCAUCGAACACUUGAAGCGAGCUACUAACCCAUUAAAAAUGUAUAAGGCAAACAAAGCCGAUAUGUGGGCCCGGCUGCCUGAUGAAUUUAUGGCCAAUUGCAAAUCAUUUGACAAUGAAGCGAAAACACAGGGUAACAGGCAUAAUAAUAAAGGCAAGACCGGCAAACAAUGCGAAACCUGCCCCAGUAACUGACCUACAACAAAGCAGCAUCGAAAACCGAAACCAGAACGCAAAUCUUAACCGCAAAAAGUUGGCCAAAGAAGAGGAACAAGUCAAAGUCGUUGUUGAUUCUACGGGGUCCAUUGUGUAAUGGCAAUACAAAUGCAGAAGAAUGAGAACACAUUCUCCGUUCAUUAUCAAUGUACUUGCCCUGCCCGUUUGUUAUUCUUGUGCGAUUUCGAGUACGUUCGGCAGGCAUCGAUUCUUUUGAUGGGAAGACUGUUGCUCUCUUCGGAAAGCCUUUGCUACCGGGAUGGAAAAGCCGGUACCCGAAAUCAUAGGACCGAAAACCGAACCAGACCAAACCCAGACUUAGACUCAGACCCAGACUCCGAUUCGGAUUCGGAUUCGGAUUCAGAUUCGGGUCCAGAAUGAGCGACGAGUAGACACUCAGACGGCUUUGUUGCUGCUAUUUGUGUUUUAUGUUUUAUGUUUGACGUUCGAGCGUGCUGGGCGCGUGUGAAUGAAAAGGAAGCUCACUCACAAACACUCGCAGCAGAGCCAUGAGCCAUUCAAAAACAAAGUCAAGGUCAUUGCAAAGAGUUUUAAUUGUUCACACACAAAAAACACAAAUAAAAUAAAAAUACUCUCUCGCACACACCACUGGGAAAUAAAGCAGAAAAACACAAUGGGCGGGAGCGCACUGCACAAACAAACGGGCAAACAUUCGUACAAAAUAAAAGAAAUAAAACGCAACAACAACUUCGGGAGCGGACAAUGGCAAAAUGGCAACCAGAGGAGCAGCGCCAUCAGCAACAACAAAGGGAAGAACUGGCGAGCAAACAAGUUGGGCAAAUCCGAGUAAGCCUAUUGGGACCAUGUGGAUAAGGAGCCGCUCAAGACUCUGGCUAAACCUAUUUCCAUAGCCAGCACAGUAUCUAUUAAUAUCUGGAAUUUCUACUCAAGACUGGGAAUAUAUUUUCAUCUCAUUCUGGGCUCUGAUGUUGUGUUCCCCAUACUGUGUCAGUGGUAAGUUGUAUCUAUUGCAUCACAGAAAAGGUGGAAACUAAAAACCCAUCCUUAUAUUAUAAGCCUAAGUCUUAUUCACUACUUAGGUUGACUAAAUGGAUAAUAAUAAUAACAUUUGUCCAAAAAUAUAACAUAAAAUAUUUAACAAUUAGGGUGCUUCGAACUAAUAAAACAUCCAUUAUUAUAUUGGGGUAAUAUAGAAGAUUCAAAUUAUUGGCUUCCUCGUCAUGUUAAUCAUUUGCAUUUCGUUUGCAGCACAUAAUAGUAAAAACCUUUUCCUGCCCUUCUGCGACCCCAAUCAAAAGUUCCUCGAGGACAUCGAUAGCCUUCCACUGAUAUGAACCAUAUUGCAUCCGUUUUGUUGGCCAAACUUUGGGCCACUCCCUGCUGCCGCAUUCUGCGAAACUCGUCCUCUCUCUUUCCUAUUCUGCCGCCGUGUUGACUCUAAACUCGGAUCUGAAUGUUCCCUAAAUGCUUUGCUCUCGCAACUUUGCCGGCAACUGUUUUACGAGUUUAUCCGUUUAACAACGCCCGAAAAAGAAAGUGGCGAAAAAAUAAAAAUCUGCAAACACUCACCCGGCCGAGAACAAAAACAAGUGCAGAAAAACGUAUAUUACGUAUACGACCCGUCUCGACACUUGUAGACGUACCCACACUCGUUGGCAGGGCGAGCAAGCGAGAGGGGGCUAGUGUGCGAGGGAGAGGCACUCACACUCACUCACACAGACAGAGAAACAGACACAGACCCUAUUCAGACUUAUUCAUUUUACACAUUCAUUUCCUCAUUCAAUUCGCAAUUGUAUACGAAAUUUCAAUUGUUUGUUGAAUGUAUUAUAUGCGUUGUGGCUAUGGGAAGGCAAAGGCCCUGUUGUUGCUACAGAUGGUGAUGGUGAUGAUGAUGACGUUGUUGAAAAUUGCAUUCCCGGCGAAGUUCAGGUCGUUUUCGCAUGUGUAUGGGUAUGUUGAUAUGAGUGUAUGGAUAUUUGGCAACAGGUUGUUCUGCUCGGCGUCUAGCUUUUGAAAUCCUGCCACUGGGAGACAAAAGGCUCUGGCUCUCUGGGUGUGUAUUCGUGUGUAUAUCCUGAUUGCAUGAUGGUGAUAAGCGCGAAGUUCUGGCCAUUGAAAUUGCCAACGUGUUGAUGAGUACCGCAUUCAUUCAUUCGUUCAUUCAGUCAGUCAGUCAGUCACUCCCCGCCUUGAUUGUCGGGGCCUCCAUUCUUCGUUCCCCAUUCUGCUCCGGCUGGUAAAAGUGAAAGUCGGUCGCUCGGGCAGGAAUCGGAAUCGGAAUAGUUAGGAUGGUCUGUCUGUCGCCAGCAGAACAAUAAAAUGGCAUUAGUUUUUGGGCUCUGAACUUGAUGCUAGGGCACUGCGAACAAUAAAGGUGGUAGUGGGAUGAAGGCCUGUCAUCGAUUUUGUGCGGUCAAACGAGAGGGAUAUACACACACAGAGUGAGAGAGAGGGAAAGAGAGAACUGCCCCACAUUCCAUAUAGUCUAUUCACAGGACGAACCCCCAAAGAGUUGAAAAGUGAAAGAUGCAAAUAAUGGCUCGGUUCAGUUCAGUUCAGAGCAGCCUUCCAGUACUGCCAUCCCUCUCGUAGACGGGGCGUGUUUGUCAGCCGGGGCGAACAAUGAGCCAAAGAUAUAAUAUCUUAUUGUUAUUCUGUAUUAUUUUUGUGUCAUUGAACUUAUUUCGCCAUAAAGGAAAAAUCUCCUGGAGAACGGGGACUUACACCGCUUACUAAAAUGACAUGGUCUACCCAAAACCAAAGCAACAAAAAAAUUCAAUAAUAAUAAUAAUAAAUAAAAGUGCUGAAAAUUACCAUUUUAAAAAAUUACAGCUUCUAAAAUGUUUUCAUUCUGUCCUCUUCAGCGAUAUAUUUGACCUUAUCGGAUAUAAAGUGAGAAUAUUUUAGAUGGGGCACCUAUUUAGUCGCAUGUACAAACAUUUUCGUCCCACAAUUUGAUAUCAGAACUUUUGUAUGUUGAAGGUGCGAUCGUCGACCCCUUACCUCGUUAAGAGGUUUUUUGUUUGAUAUCAGAAGUUUUUAAAUAAAUAAUCAAUUUACAAAUUAUUAUACCUCAAUACCAAGACCAGAAGUC